UACGUAGGGUGCAAGCGUUGUCCGGAAUUAUUGGGCGUAAAGAGCUCGUAGGCGGUUUGUUGCGUCGGCUGUGAAAACCUGAGGCUCAACCUCAGGCCUGCAGUCGAUACGAGCAGACUAGAGUGUUGCAGGGGAGACUGGAAUUCCUGGUGUAGCGGUGAAAUGCGCAGAUAUCAGGAGGAACACCGGUGGCGAAGGCGGGGUCUCUGGGCAACAACUGACGCUGAGGAGCGAAAGCGUGGGGGAGCGAACAGG
rnacentral:rRNA from 1 species